rnacentral:rRNA from 1 species
GUGGCGUACGGGUGAGUAACACGUGGGGAUCUACCUUCGGGUGGGGGAUAACUCUUGGAAACGGGAGCUAAUACCGCAUGAGCAGGGAACUGGAAAGCCGAAAGGCGCCGGAAGAGGAGCCCGCGGCCGAUUAGCUAGUUGGUGAGGUAACGGCUCACCAAGGCAAAGAUCGGUAGCCGGCCUGAGAGGGCACACGGCCACACUGGCACUGAAACACGGGCCAGACUCCUACGGGAGGCAGCAGUGGGGAAUCUUGCACAAUGGGGGCAACCCUGAUGCAGCGACGCCGCGUGAGCGAUGAAGCCCUUCGGGGUGUAAAGCUCUUUCGGCCGGAACGAUAAUGACGGUACCGGAGGAAGAAGCUGCGGCUAACUACGUGCCAGCAGCCGCGGUAAUACGUAGGCAGCAAGCGUUGUUCGGAGUUACUGGGCGUAAAGAGUGCGUAGGCGGUGACCUAAGUUCGUUGUGAAAUCUCCCGGCUUAACUGGGAGGGUGCGGCGAAAACUGGGUUGCUAGAGUGUGGGAAAGGCAAGCGGAAUUCCUGGUGUAGCGGUGAAAUGCGUAGAUAUCAGGAGGAACACCGGCGGUGUAGACGGCUUGCUAGACCAUAACUGACGCUGAGGCACGAAAGC